rnacentral:tRNA from 1 species
AAGGGGAUAACUCAGUGGUAGAGUGUGUGCUUAGCAAGUACGAGGUCCUGGGUUCAACCCCCAGUCCCUCUA